rnacentral:rRNA from 1 species
UCCUACGGGGGGCAGCAGUAGGGAAUCUUCGUCAAUGGGCGCAAGCCUGAACGAGCAAUGCCGCGUGAACGAGGAAGGUCUUCGGAUCGUAAAAUUCUGUUGAAGGGGAAAAAGAGCGGAGAGAGGAAAUGAACUCCGAUUGAUAUUACCCUUCGAGGAAGUCACGGCUAACUACGUGCCAGCAGCCGCGGUAAUACGUAGGUGGCGAGCGUUAUCCGGAGUGAUUGGGCGUAAAGGGAGCGCAGGCGGCACGGCAAGCCUGAUGUGAAAGCCCGCGGCCCAACCGCGGGACUGCAUUGGGAACU